UACGUAGGGCGCGAGCGUUGUCCGGAAUUAUUGGGCGUAAAGAGCUCGUAGGCGGCCUGUUACGUCUGCUGUGAAAUCCCGGGGCUUAACCCCGGGCGUGCAGUGGAUACGGGCAGGCUGGAGGCAGGCAGGGGAGAACGGAAUUCCCGGUGUAGCGGUGAAAUGCGCAGAUAUCGGGAGGAACACCGGUGGCGAAGGCGGUCUGCUGGGCCGUUGCUGACGCUGAUGCGCGACAGCGUGGGGAGCAAACAGG
rnacentral:rRNA from 1 species